GACAGAGGAUGCAAGCGUUAUCCGGAAUGAUUGGGCGUAAAGCGUCUGUAGGUGGCUUUUAAGUCCGCCGUCAAUCCCAGGCUCAACCCUGGACAGGCGGUGGAAACUACCAAGCUGGAGUACGGUAGGGCAGAGGGAAUUUCCGGUGGAGCGGUGAAAUGCGUAGAGAUCGGAAAGAACACCAACGGCGAAAGCACUCUGCUGGGCCGACACUGACAUGAGAGACGAAAGCUAGGGGA
rnacentral:rRNA from 1 species